GAGUGAAAUGAUGCUUUACCAUCUUUCGGGACUUACCCAUUAAUGGGGAUACCUUUUUCUCACUGAUCACUC